AUUGAACGCUGGCGGAAUGCCUUACACAUGCAAGUCGAACGGCAGCACGGGAGCAAUCCUGGUGGCGAGUGGCGAACGGGUGAGUAAUACAUCGGAACGUGCCCAAUCGUGGGGGAUAACGUAGCGAAAGCUACGCUAAUACCGCAUACGAUCUACGGAUGAAAGCAGGGGAUCGCAAGACCUUGCGCGAAUGGAGCGGCCGAUGGCAGAUUAGGUAGUUGGNGGGGUAAAGGCUCACCAAGCCUUCGAUCUGUAGCUGGUCUGAGAGGACGACCAGCCACACUGGGACUGAGACACGGCCCA
rnacentral:rRNA from 1 species